rnacentral:rRNA from 1 species
CCUACGGGUGGCAGCAGUGAGGAAUAUUGGUCAAUGGACGAGAGUCUGAACCAGCCAAGUAGCGUGAAGGAUGACUGCCCUAUGGGUUGUAAACUUCUUUUAUAUGGGAAUAAAAUGUUCCACGUGUGGGAUUUUGUCUGUACCAUAUGAAUAAGGAUCGGCUAACUCCGUGCCAGCAGCCGCGGUAAUACGGAGGAUCCGAGCGUUAUCCGGAUUUAUUGGGUUUAAAGGGAGCGUAGGUGGAUUGUUAAGUCAGUUGUGAAAGUUUGCGGCUCAACCGUAAAAUUGCAGUUGAAACUGGCAGUCUUGAGUACAGUAGAGGUGGGCGGAAUUCGUGGUGUAGCGGUGAAAUGCUUAGAUAUCACGAAGAACUCCGAUUGCGAAGGCAGUUCACUGGACUGCAACUGACACUGAGGCUCGAAAGUGUGGGUAUCAAACAGGAUUAGAUACCCGAGUAGUC